CUACUUCCUCGCCAGAUGCCAGAUGAACAAAAAUGGCUCGGUGUCGCUCUUGUUGUCAUUUCUGUGGCCUGCAGAGCCCUUAUGUGCCAAUGGGUUCGUCAAUGGACUCCAGAUACUCCGCCGCACUCAUGAUCGUUCAGCACCAUGAUCAUUAGUUAUGAGAAGCUGUAGUUUUACAGGGAGUCAAUAUCCAUGCUCACUCCCCCACACCCCGGCCCGCAGAUUGAUCCUCCGUCCCCAACUUUCCGUAGGACCCACAUAGAAUGCUCAUCGAUGAUAAUUACCACAAGAAAAUAUCAUAGGACUGAUAUAUUUUUAACUGUUAAUAUCUGAUUUAUACUGACUCUGCUUCUAUUUCUCUCUUUUAUUUUUUUUCAACAGCUCAGUCACUCUUUUCUCUUCUCUUUUUUAUAUUUCUUCUUUUAUAUUUUACUCUCUCUUCUCAUCAUUCUCUUCAGUGUCCUCUUCACCCCCCCUCUUUUUUUUUUUUUCUUUUUCUGACAAUGUACUAACUACUUUCAGAUCUGUGUUAGAUUAUAUAAUUGUAUAAUAUUAGUUAUAGAUGGGUUGGGUUACAGUGUGUUUGAACUCAAUCCUCAUAAUAAUCUGAUUAUAUGCAGAGACACAGUCACUCAGUCAUC
rnacentral:sRNA from 1 species